GAGGCCUAACACAUGCAAGUCGAACGGUCCUUCGGGAUAGUGGCGGACGGGUGAGUAACACGUGGGAACGUACCCUUAGGUUCGGAACGACACAGGGAAACUUGUGCUAAUACCGGAUAAGCCCUUCGGGGGAAAGAUUUAUCGCCUUUGGAGCGGCCCGCGUCUGAUUAGCUUGUUGGUGAGGUAAUGGCUCACCAAGGCUACGAUCAGUAGCUGGUCUGAGAGGAUGGCCAGCCACACUGGGACUGAGACACGGCCCAGACUCCUACGGGAGGCAGCAGUGGGGAAUCUUGCGCAAUGGGCGAAAGCCUGACGCAGCCAUGCCGCGUGGAUGAUGAAGGUCUUAGGAUUGUAAAAUCCUUUCACCGGGGACGAUAAUGACGGUACCCGGAGAAGAAGCCCCGGCUAACUUCGUGCCAGCAGCCGCGGUAAUACGAAGGGGGCUAGCGUUGCUCGGAAUUACUGGGCGUAAAGGGCGCGUAGGCGGACAGUUAAGUUGGGGGUGAAAGCCCGGGGCUCAACCUCGGAAAUGCCUUCAAUACUGGCUGUCUUGAGUACGGGAGAGGUGAGUGGAACUCCGAGUGUAGAGGUGAAAUUCGUAGAUAUUCGGAAGAACACCAGUGGCGAAGGCGACUCACUGGCCCGUUACU
rnacentral:rRNA from 1 species